rnacentral:lncRNA from 1 species
GCUGGGUUUUGAUACAGCCUGGCCACUAGACGGUGCUGCUGAGCCCAAAUUAUCAUGACAAGGCUAAAAUUAGUGUUUGGUGUAUGUAAGUCCAGGGCCUGCCAUAGUCUACUAAAAAGACUCUGAUGUCACGGCAGAUACUCACUCUCACCAGCUUGUGUGCCCCUAGCUUACAUGCCCUGCUUCUUUUCUUCUAUUCUCCCUUCUUCCUCUCCCUCUUCCCCUCCCUCCCUCCUUUUUCCCAUUCUUUCCUUUCAUUUUUUUAAAAAUAAAGGGCUUGUAAGAAAGAUCUUUUCCUUUUCAUGCUUGUCUUGGAUAAGUGUCAAAGAUGCCAAGAAAAGAAAAGAAUAAGAGAUAGAGUGUGGCAGUGGCGGUGAGAGAUGGGAGCGUGACAGUGGCGGCGAGAGAUGGGAGAGAAGAGACUGAUAUCUCAGGAAGAUUACUUAAUAUAUAGCAACAAAAUUGUAUUACAGCUUUUCACGGUAUUUUAAAAAGAUAACUAUUUUGAUAUCAGAAUAAAGAAGGUUUUUU